GACGAACGCUGGCGGCGUGCUUAACACAUGCAAGUCGAACGGUGAUGCUCCAGCUUGCUGGAGCGGAUCAGUGGCGAACGGGUGAGUAACACGUGAGCAACCUGCCCCAGACUCUGGAAUAAGCGCUGGAAACGGCGUCUAAUACUGGAUACGAAACUGGCCCGCACGGGCAUGGUUUGGAAAGUUUUUCGGUUUGGGAUGGGCUCGCGGACUACCAGCUUGUUGGUGAGGUACUGGCUCACCAAGGCGACGCCGGUUAGCCGGCCGGAGAGGGUGACCGGCCACGGUGUUACUGAGACAUGGCCGGAACUCGUACUAGAGGCAGCAGUGGAGAAUAGUGCACGAUAGGAGGACGCCGGAUGCAGCGGGCCCGCGUGAGGAAGAACGGCCUUCGGGUUGUAAUCCUCUUUCAGCUGGGACGACGCGAAAGUGUCGGUCCCUGCAGAGGAGGCACCGGCUAACUACGUG
rnacentral:rRNA from 1 species